rnacentral:misc_RNA from 1 species
GAUGAAGAACGUAGCGAAACGCGAUAAGUAAUGUGAAUUGCAGAAUUCAGUGAAUCAUCGAAUCUUUGAACGCACAUUGCGCCCGCCAGCAUUCUGGCGGGCAUGCCUGUUCGAGCGUCAUUUCAACCCUCAAGCUCUGCUUGGUGUUGGGGCCCUACGGUUGACGUAGGCCCUUAAAGGUAGUGGCGGACCCUCUCGGAGCCUCCUUUGCGUAGUAACUAACGUCUCGCAUUGGGAUUCGGAGGGACUCUUGCCGUAAAACCCCCAAAUUUUCUAAUGGUUGACCUCGGAUCAGGUAGGAAUACCCGCUGAACUUAAGCAUAUCAAUAAGCGGAGGA